rnacentral:rRNA from 1 species
AUCGAUGAUUGGGGUGAAGUCGUAACAAGGUAGCCGUAGGAGAACCUGCGGCUGGAUCACCUCCUUU